rnacentral:rRNA from 1 species
UGCGUAGGCGGGCUAAUAAGUCAGGGGUGAAAUCCCACAGCUCAACUGUGGAACUGCCUUUGAUACUGUUAGUCUUGAGUUAUAUGGAAGUAGAUAGAAUGUGUAGUGUAGCGGUGAAAUGCAUAGAGAUUACACAGAAUACCGAUUGCGAAGGCAGUCUACUACGUAUAUACUGACGCUAAUGGACGAAAGCGUGGGGAGCGAACAGGAUUAGAUACCCUGGUAGUCC